GUGCCAGCCGCGGUAAUACAUAGAGGGCAAGCGUUAUCCGGAAUUAUUGGGCGUAAAGGGUGCGUAGUGGCCAUUUAAGUCUUUGGUGUAAGUGCAGUGCUCAACGCUGUGAUGCUAAAGAGACUGGGUGGCUUGAGUGUGGUAGAGGCAAGUGGAAUUCCAUGUGUAGCGGUAAAAUGCGUAAAUAUAUGGAGGAACACCAGUGGCGAAGGCGGCUUGCUGGGCCAUAACUGACACUGAGGCACGAAAGCGUGGGGAGCAAACAGGAUUAGAUACCCUGGUAGUCCACGCCGUAAACGAUGAGUACUAAGUGUUGGAGAAAUUCAGUGCUGUAGUUAACGCAAUAAGUACUCCGCCUGAGUAGUACGUACGCAAGUAUGAAACUCAAAGGAAUUGACGGGACCCCGCACAAGCGGUGGAUCAUGUUGUUUAAUUCGAUGAUACGCGAAGAACCUUACCAGGUCUUGACAUCCCUUGCAAAGCUCUAGAGAUAGAGUGGGAGGUUAUCAAGGGAGACAGGUGGGUGCAUGGUUGUCGUCAGCUCGUGUCGUGAGAUG
rnacentral:rRNA from 1 species